UGGGGAAUAUUGGACAAUGGGCGAAAGCCUGAUCCAGCAAUGCCGCGUGAGUGAUGAAGGCCUUAGGGUUGUAAAGCUCUUUUACCAGGGAUGAUAAUGACAGUACCUGGAGAAUAAGCUCCGGCUAACUCCGUGCCAGCAGCCGCGGUAAUACGGAGGGAGCUAGCGUUGUUCGGAAUUACUGGGCGUAAAGAGUACGUAGGCGGUGAUUCAAGUCAGAGGUGAAAGCCUGGAGCUCAACUCCAGAACUGCCUUUGAAACUAGAUCGCUAGAAUUAUGGAGAGGUUAGUGGAAUUCCGAGUGUAGAGGUGAAAUUCGUAGAUAUUCGGAAGAACACCAGUGGCGAAGGCGACUAACUGGACAUAUAUUGACGCUGAGGUACGAAAGCGUGGGGAGCAAACA
rnacentral:rRNA from 1 species